CAAUAGCGUAUAUUAAAGUUGUUGCGGUUAAAAAGCUCGUAGUUGGAUUUCUGUUGAGGUCGGCCGGUCCCUACUUCGUAGGCGUAUCUGGUUCAGCCUUGGCAUCCUCCUAGGGAACGGUACUGCUCUUAACUGAGUGGUCCGGUAUCUAGGACUUUUACUUUGAGGAAAUUAGAGUGUUUACGGCAGGCAAUCGCCUUGAAUAUGUUAGCAUGGAAUAAUAAGAUAAGACUUGGGUCAUUAUUUUGUUGGUUUGCGGAUCGAGGUAAUGAUUAAUAGGGAUAGUUGGGGGUAUUCAUAUUUAAUUGUCAGAGGUGAAAUUCUUGGAUUUAUGAAAGAUGAACUUAGGCGAAAGCAUUUACCAAGGAUGUUUUCAUUAAUCAAGAACGAAAGUUAGGGGAUCGAAGAUGAUCAGAUACCAU
rnacentral:rRNA from 1 species